CACAAAGCUGCUCACCAGUGCUCCAUCUGUGUCCCCUGUGGAGGGGGGAUGGUGCCAGGACAUGCUUUAAGCAAACAAAGGCACAGGGAGACAUAGCAAAGGGAGGGAUGGCUCAGCAGGGUUGUGCUGGCAGUCAGGUACAGGCAUAGGUUCCCAGGGAAUACAGGACACUGUCACUCAGGCAGUGAGUCAGAUGUCCCAAAAUGCCAUAGGAUGCCUGCAGAGCUGAUGUUGAGGUGGAGGAGCUAGCCUGGACAGGGAUGUGCCGCAGGAGAGCCAGCAGCCAGGAAGCCACAGAGGGCAGCCAGAACCAGGAUGAACCCCACCACCACCGGGACUCCGAAGGUCUUCCCUGCCCUCAUCCCAGCUUGUCCGCCUCCUCCUGGGCCAAGAAGAUAUGUUUGAAUUUACAUGAUAAUGCUUACUCAAGGAGAAAACCAGUGCUGACCAUCCCAGCAGCACUCACACACGUGUCUGCUCAUGAGCACAGCCCAGGUUCUGGGCAUCAGCUGUCCUGUUUUUCAUCUCCCCCAUCUUUGCCUCCCCUUCCCUUCAUAACUGUGAUCCUUUCUGGAAUAGCAAAAGUUAAAGCUUGAGAAAUGAAAACCCCAGGAGCCUGGGUCUCCGGCUAAGUCCUUUUAUUAAACAAAUAAACCAGAAAAGGUAUCAAAUGAGCGAUUUAAGAA